CCCAGACUCUUCUCAACCCUAGUCUAAAAUCACGUGAUCAGCAGGGACGUCAGCAGCUUGUCCCGGGUGGUGACAGAAGUCAGAUGAGGGGUCAAAUCCUGAGGGAGGGAGACGCAUAGACGGACUUUCAGUCUCUUUCAGCUCGAUGUGAAAAUUUACAUGUACUGAGACAGAAUAGUUGUCUGUAGCACCGCCUCAGAAUUACAUCUGAAAUGUCCGCUGGAACAUCUGUACUGCUCAGCUGGACCCAGCUGUGGCUCUGCCUCCUUGUUUUGGUCCGUGCAGACCAGAAAAACAUAACAUCUAAGUCUGGACAGAACGUCAUUCUGCCAUGUCGAGCUCCAAAGAAGGACAUCUGCAUCAUUGUUUUAGAGUGGAGCAGAGCUGACCUGGGAGAAGAAUAUGUCCUAACGUACCGAGACGAGCAGUUUGAUCCAGAUGAGCAGCAUCCAUCUUUUAAGAACCGGGUGGAUCUGCAGGACAGACAGAUGAAGGAUGGAAACUGGUCUUUGAUUGUGAAGGAUGUGAUGAUUAACGACACUGGAACAUACAAGUGUCGUGUCUUCAUGAGAGAAACACGCUUGUGGGAAUCCAUCAACACCAUCUACCUUCAUGUUGAUCCUCCAGGUCAGACAGGAGGAGGCAGAUUUGUCCCACUGAUACUUUGUCUACUUGGUUCCACUGUCUUUAUUGUGGUCAGUUUUCUGAUCUACAGAAGAAAACCCCACAAAUAGGAUUCACACGUCCUUCCUGUUGAACAGCAGUGUAUUUAAAAUGUCUCAGAGCUUUUUAACUGUGAACUGAGUCGCUUGCAAUUGUUACUAAAUAUUUAUUAGAGUUUUCUCAUUUUAAAGAAAAGCUAGGCAGCUUUUAUUCAUUACAUUUUUAAGCACUGCUUACAUGUAUUUGCACAUGUCUGGAUUUGUCAAUAUAUUUACUUCUAAUAUGCAUUUUAUUGUUAAUGUUAAUGAAAUUAAAGCUGAAGUUCCUGAUUCACCGCCCAACCCAAUAUGCAUUUUUAUCUGUUUAUUGGGUUUCUUUUUACAGUGUUUUAAAGUCUUAACUGUGAAUACAAAUUGUAUUUUAAUGACUGAACAUGUGUUGCUGUGUUGAUAUGUGCCUGUUUCUUUUAAAAUGUGUAUGUUUGUUUUUAAAUGUUUUCUCAAUCUUGCCCCACCUUACCUCUCUGAGCUUCUUCAUCCCUACACACCCUGUUGGUCUCUUACUUGCUUAGUUGGAGUACCGAGAUCUGGGAGGAAGCUCAGAGGGGACAGGGCCUUCUCUAUCGUGGCUCCUGAGUUUAGAGAGGUCCCAUCUCUGUCCACUAUUAAAACACGCCUUUGGCCUUUGACCUCAGUGAGACUUAGUGUCUCUUGUAUUUAAAUGUGUUAUUUAAUUAAUUAUUUUAGUUUUCUUUUAUUUGCUUUCAAUUAAAUCAAAUGUUAUUUUUAUUAUUUAGUUCCGAUCUAUAGCACUUUGCGCCAGCUGUGGUUGCUUUAAAAGAUGAUGGUGAUACUUGUGCUCAUUGUAAUUCAGUCUAUAUCUUAAAUGUUUUUUUGUAUUAUUUUAUGCUUUAUAAUGUUCUUAUUUUUUUACUCUAAUUUGUUUACAGUGUUUGGUGCUUAGAAUUAAAAAAAAUAAAAUAAAAUCAUAAUUAAAGAAAAACUGAAAUAGAAUAAUCUGAAUUUUAAUCAGUCUUAAGAAAACAAACAUCAACCUUGCCACUUAAAAAUAUUAGAAAUGAGAAAUAAUCAAAAUCAUGCCAAUUUAGUCAUGUUUACAAAUCAUGCCACACUAAAUCAUGUCAUCAUGAUUUAUCAUGAUGUUAUCAUGUCACUUGUACAAACUCAUCUGAUAUUGUGGACC
ensembl:lncRNA